UAUCAGUACAGCUGAUUUCUAGGGAUUUGAAUUUAUAGUUAGCUUAUGAGUCUCCCUCAAAGAGUAACUAUUUUGCUUCACCGCCACCGUGGAAGGAGACGGAACAGCUUUUCCGGCCGGAAAUAACAUCUCCGGUGACUGAGAAAGAACUGUACGAUACUCCACGCGCCGGCGCGUGCUCCGACUGAAGGGAUCGCGGUUGUAUCGCCGAUGUGGCUCUGUAAAAUCCGGCUAGUGUUUGAGAAUUUGGAACCGGUGAAGAUGGAAAUUUUUGGAGGAAAAAAG
rnacentral:misc_RNA from 1 species